UACGGAGGGUGCAAGCGUUAUCCGGAUUCACUGGGUUUAAAGGGUGCGUAGGUGGGUUGGUAAGUCAGGGGUGAAAGACGGUAGCUCAACUAUCGCAGUGCCCUUGAUACUGAUGGGCUUGAAUGAACUAGAGGUAGGCGGAAUGUGACAAGUAGCGGUGAAAUGCAUAGAUAUGUCACAGAACACCAAUUGCGAAGGCAGCUUACUAUGGUUUUAUUGACACUGAGGCACGAAAGCGUGGGGAUCAAACAGG
rnacentral:rRNA from 1 species